AUUGAACGCUGGCGGCAGGCCUAACACAUGCAAGUCGAACGAGUGGCGGACGGGUGAGUAAUGUCUGGGAAACUGCCUGAUGGAGGGGGAUAACUACUGGAAACGGUAGCUAAUACCGCAUACCAUCGGAUGUGCCCAGAUGGGAUUAGCUAGUAGGUGGGGUAACGGCUCACCUAGGCGACGAUCCCUAGCUGGUCUGAGAGGAUGACCGGCAAACCUGGAACUGAGAAACGGUCCAGACUCCUAGGGGAGGCAGCAGUGGGGAUUAUUGCACAAUGGGCGCAAGCCUGAGGCAGCCAGGCCGCGGGUGUGAAGAAGGCCUUCGGGUUGUAAAGCACUUUCAGCGGGGAGGCGUUACCCGCAGAGGAAGCACCGGCUAACUCCGUGCCAGCCGCCGCGGUAAUUC
rnacentral:rRNA from 1 species